GCCGGGGAUGGCCACGUACCGGCCAUCCGUUGCCGUCCCGCGCGGAUAAGAUCACCGGAGACGCCCCUGCCAACCCUAGAUCGCCACUCGCCCACGCGCCUCUCCCCUCUCUCCCUCUGUUUCUUCCUCACCCGAGCGUCGCCAUGGACGAGCUCCCCUAAGCUCGUGCGCACCGCCGCCCCUGCACCUUGAAGGCACAUCCACGAGGUCCGCCGUCGUCUCCAACUCCGUCCUCGACCACCUCUUCGAGCCGGGAGCCACCACAACACGUGGGUCGACGACAUCUUCAACCCCGGCCACCGCGACCUCGCCGGAAAUUCCGACUCCGUCGAGCCCUCCCCGAUCCCGCUAGGAACACCUGCAGGACCCCGAUGGCAGAGUCCAGGAGCCAGAUGCCACCUUUGACGACUGCUACUACCCCGGGGGUGCCUACUACUACGUGACGGCCGGGAGUAGUUAGGAGGCUCCCAGGCAGGAGGCCUUGUCUUUUCGAUCAUGUUGCUUUUGUGCUAGCCUUCUUAAGGCAAACUUGUUUAGCUCAUGUCUAAACUCGGAUAUUGUUGCUUCCGCUGACUCUUGUGUUUUCGAGCUUAUUUGUGCCAAGUUGUAGUAUCUGAAUUGCUCCAGUGUUUUUUCAUAGUCUU